UUAACGGUUUUUUUAAAAACCAAAUUCUUCAUAAACUAUUAAU
rfam:Cajanus cajan CcLG11_2308, whole genome shotgun sequence.